ACACCACAGUUCAUGCUGUGGAUCACUUUGCUUAGCAUAGACCAUUAAAGUAAGCCUGACGUAGAAGAUGUUGCACAGCCUUGGUGGCUGGUAACAGGUCUCCCUCACUGAAAGUUCCUCUAGCUAGCCCGUAGGUACUACAUCUUUAUUAUCAGGGGACCCAUCUGUGAAGUCUGGGCGCUGUACCCUCAAAAGUAUGAUAUGUGAUGGUUAAUAUGAAUUGUCAACUUGACAGUGUCUAAUCAUUGAAGAGACAUAUGGGCAUUGCUAGAAUAGGUUAACCAAGGCAGAAAGAUCCACCCCAAAUAUGAGUGAUGCUAGGCUGUGGAUGGAGGGCCUGGGAUGAAUAAAAAGGACGGCCACCAUUUUUCACUUUAUUUUCUGACUGUGGAUAUCACGUGAUCAACUGUCUCAAGCUCCUGACACCAUGAUGGACCGUACCUUCCAACUGGGAGCCGAAGUGAACCUCUCCUCCCUGGGGUUGUUCUUGCAGGUGUUUUGGCACAGUAACAAAUUCCCAGGAGCCAAGGACUCUGGGGCCAGGCACUCUGCUUUUGACAUGGGAUCACUCUUGAUGCUGUCGGGGAUUUGACUGGAGAUGCAAGGAGCUGUGAUUUCUCCUGGUUCCACGGCACGGUACCAUGGAACGGAUGCAGAGAGAUAGAAGGCGCACUAUGGAUCAAUAAUUCUACCUCCUUGCUGGAGUGGGAAUCUCUCAGCCCAGAAACUGCAAAACGAUCAAAUGACCUCUUUUCCUGUCCCAUCCCCAAACAUGUACUGAUAGAUAUUACUUCUCAUUCCUUGAUGGCUGUGCCACCAGCCAGUGUGGGGCUCGGCAAAGGACUCAUGGUUGUAAUGCAUGGAGAAACAUGGACUUCUGAAAAGAUUGAUUUUUUAACCACAGAGGCAUAGUACAUGUGCUAAAUCAAACUGAAGGCGCUGGCUCCCCAUGAGGUCUUAGCUCAAAUAUUAAUCACCAGAGUGGUAAACAGUCUGAGCCCGGGCUACCGUGCUGACAGAAAGACCAGACAUAGGAGAGCCAGGCAGCAGUGAGGCUCAGGGAACAGAUGGCUCCUGACCCAGCACUGUGCCUAGCACUGUUUUCUUAAAAUAACUACUUCAUGAUAACCUCUUAUUCAAGUGAAAUGGAUUUCGUAGGUCUGUAACACAACUAGAUACGGAAUUUUAAAACUUAGCUAAAUAGUGUGCUUCAUGUAGAAAAUACAUACAGAGAAAAAUUUAGAUAAUUUAGGGAUUUUUAACUUAAUUUUUCACUUACAUUGUAUGUAUGUGAAUGCAUACACACAUGCCAUGGUGUGCAGGUCGGAGGAUAACUUGUAGGUCGGUUCUGAUUUUCGUCUUUCACCAUUGGGGUUCUAGGGACAGAACUAGACUGCCAGGCUCGCAGCAAGUAUUUCUUUCCAAUAAGCCAUCUUGCCCCAUUUCAGUGCAUAAGUGCUUGCUACACCUUCUCUCAAGAUGGAGUAAAUAACCAGAAUCCUAUAUAUAAUUAUUUUAAAUAUAUUGGUGUGCCAAUUAGUUUUUGUUAACAUAA
rnacentral:lncRNA from 1 species